rnacentral:rRNA from 1 species
AUGAACGCUGGCGGCGUGCCUAAUCCCUGCCAGUCGAGCGAACAGAUGAGGAGCUUGCUCCUCUGACGUUAGCGGCGGACGGGUGAGUAACACGUGGAUAACCUACCUAUAAGACUGGGAUAACUUCGGGAAACCGGAGCUAAUACCGGAUAAUAUAUUGAACCGCAUGGUUCAAUAGUGAAAGACGGUUUUGCUGUCACUUAUAGAUGGAUCCGCGCCGCAUUAGCUAGUUGGUAAGGUAACGGCUUACCAAGGCAACGAUGCGUAGCCGACCUGAGAGGGUGAUCGGCCACACUGGAACUGAGACACGGUCCAGACUCCUACGGGAGGCAGCAGUAGGGAAUCUUCCGCAAUGGGCGAAAGCUUGACGGAGCAACGCCGCGUGAGUGAUGAAGGUCUUCGGAUCGUAAAACUCUGUUAUUAGGGAAGAACAAAUGUGUAAGUAACUAUGCACGUCUUGACGGUACCUAAUCAGAAAGCCACGGCUAACUACGUG